GCAGCCAUUAUCUUUACUGUAGAUAACGAUGCCGGGAAGAUUAGGUGUUUGUGUCAGGUGCCUCAGGAAGCGGCAGAUAAGGGUCUAAAGGCCAGCGAAUGGGUGCAGCAGGUAUGUGAAUUGA